ACCCUCUCCAGCCCCUUCCCCUCAGAUGCCAACAUUGGUCUGGGUGGCUGUAACAGGAGGGAAAGUUCAUCAGAACGGAGUUGGGUUUCUCUGUGAUAUACAAGUUCGUUUCACAACAAA
rnacentral:snoRNA from 1 species